UUCACCUCGGGGGGCAGCAGUGGGGAAUAUUGCACAAUGGGGGGAACCCUGAUGCAGCGACGCCGCGUGAGUGAAGAAGUAUUUCGGUAUGUAAAGCUCUGUCAGCAGGGAAGAAGAAAGACGGUACCUGACCAAGAAGCCCCGGCUAACUACGGGCCAGCAGCCGCGGGAAUACGUAGGGGGCAAGCGUUAUCCGGAUUUACUGGGUGUAAAGGGAGCGUAGACGGCAGGGCAAGUCUGGAGUGAAAGGCAGGGGCCCAACCCCUGGACUGCUCUGGAAACUGUCCGGCUGGCGUGCAGAAGAG
rnacentral:rRNA from 1 species